rnacentral:rRNA from 1 species
GUCAAGCCUCUUGCAGGCGGCAGCGGUGAUGGCCGCAGAGACCAGGCCCAAGCGACUGUUUACUAAAAACACAGGUCCGUGCGAAGUCGUAAGACGAUGUAUACGGACUGACUCCUGCCCGGUGCUGGAAGGUUAAGAGGAGUGCUUAGCGUAAGCGAAGGUACGAAUUGAAGCCCCAGUAAACGGCGGCCGUAACAAUAACGGUCCUAAGGUAGCGAAAUUCCUUGUCGGGUAAGUUCCGACCCGCACGAAAGGCGUAACGAUUUGGGCACUGUCUCAACGAGAGACUCGGUGAAAUUUUAGUACCUGUGAAGAUGCAGGUUACCCGCGACAGGACGGAAAGACCCCAUGGAGCUUUACUGUAGUUUGAUAUUGAGUGUCUGUACCGCAUGUACAGGAUAGGUAGGAGCCGUAGAAAUCGGAACGCUAGUUUCGAUGGAGGCGCUGGUGGGAUACUACCCCUGCGUUAUGGCCACUCUAACCCGCACCACUUAUCGUGGUGGGAGACAGUGUCAGAUGGGCAGUUUGACUGGGGCGGUCGCCUCCUAAAGAGUAACGGAGGCGCCCAAAGGUUCCCUCAGAAUGGUUGGAAAUCAUUCGAAGAGUGUAAAGGCAGAAGGGAGCUUGACUGCGAGACCUACAAGUCGAGCAGGGACGAAAGUCGGGCUUAGUGAUCCGGUGGUUCCGCAUGGAAGGGCCAUCGCUCAACGGAUAAAAGCUACCCUGGGGAUAACAGGCUUAUCUCCCCCAAGAGUCCACAUCGACGGGGAGGUUUGGCACCUCGAUGUCGGCUCGUCGCAUCCUGGGGCUGUAGUCGGUCCCAAGGGUUGGGCUGUUCGCCCAUUAAAGCGGCACGCGAGCUGGGUUCAGAACGUCGUGAGACAGUUCGGUCCCUAUCCGUCGCGGGCGUUGGAAAUUUGAGAGGAGCUGUCCUUAGUACGAGAGGACCGGGAUGGACAUACCUCUGGUGUACCAGUUGUGCCGCCAGGCGCAUCGCUGGGUAGCUAAGUACGGAACGGAUAACCGCUGAAGGCAUCUAAGCGGGAAACCAGCCUCAAAACCAGGUCUCCCCAAGGGCCGUGGAAGACCACCACGUCGAUAGGCCGGAGAUGUACGCGCAGCAAUGCGCUCAGUUGACCGGUACUAAU